rnacentral:lncRNA from 13 species
UUUGGCUUUAUUUUCAGAACAUUUCUCUCCACUGAGUGAAAAGAUGACUAGGCAGCUUUAGGCUUGUGAAACUUAGAAGGUCAUUUCAGAGGAAGAUAAGCAUCUUUUCUGAUAACCUUGGUGACAUUUAUUGGGGAGGAUUCUAACUGUCCAGUUUAGCUUACAUGUGCAACUCUAAAGCAGUAACUGAUAAUGGUAUGGGAUACUCUGAUUUGCUGGACUGGUUCUGGACCACCUCGCCAAUGAGGGUGUAAAAGUCAGCUAUACCAGGAAUGUCAUGGGUUGAACAGACUUACUUAGAGUGAAGAAGGACUGAUUUUACAAAGCAAGGAACACUGGGGAAAUACAAAAUGUAUGUCAACUAUAUUUGGUAUGUCUGAUGGUAUUGUUUAGUUAUUUUUGAGAUGGAGUCUCAGUCUGUCACCUAGACUGGAGUGCAGUGGCAUAGAUCUCUGCUCACUGCAACCUCCACCACCUGAGCUCAAGUGAUUUUCCCAUCUAGGCUCCCCGAGUGGCUGGAACUACAGGUACAUGCCACCAUGCUUGGCUCAUUUUUGUAUUUUUAGUAGAGAUGGGGUUUCACCAUGUUGCCCAGGCUGGUCUCAGACUCUUGGACUGAAGUGAUUCACCCACCUUGGCCUCCCAAAGUAUUGGGAUUACAGGCAUGAGCCACUGAGCCUGGCCAAUAUUGUUUAGUUACUUAUUUGUGCGUAACAAAUUACCCCAAACCUAGCAUCUUAAAAUAAUGAAUAUGUAUUCACAGUUCCUGUGAGUUAGGCAUCUCAAAACACAUUAGUUGGAUGGUUCUGGCUUAAGGUCUCUUGAGUUUUCAGUCAAUUAUUGGCCAGGGCUGCAGAUCUGAAAGCUUGACUGGGGACAGAAAAAGUGAGGAUCGACUUUCAAGUUCGCUCACUUGGUUGUUGUCAGGCUUCAGUUAUUUGCCAGUUGUUGGCUGGAAACCUGUUCCUCAUCACACAGAGCUCUUCACAAGCUGCCUGAGUUUUCUUACAACAUGGAAGCUAAAUUUUUCAAGAGUCACCAGCACCAGGGGAGCAAACAAAUGCCUGUCUGAUUUCAUACGAAGAG